rnacentral:rRNA from 1 species
ACGUUAGCGGCGGACGGGUGAGUAACACGUGGGUAACCUACCUAUAAGACUGGGAUAACUUCGGGAAACCGGAGCUAAUACCGGAUAAUAUUUCGAACCGCAUGGUUCGAUAGUGAAAGAUGGUUUUGCUAUCACUUAUAGAUGGACCCGCGCCGUAUUAGCUAGUUGGUAAGGUAACGGCUUACCAAGGCGACGAUACGUAGCCGACCUGAGAGGGUGAUCGGCCACAUGGAACUGAGACACGGUCCAGACUCCUACGGGAGGCAGCAGA